rnacentral:rRNA from 1 species
AACGAACGCUGGCGGCGCGCCUAAUACAUGCAAGUCGAGCGAGAAGACGUAGCAAUACGUUUGUAAAGCGGCGAACGGGUGAGGAAUACAUGGGUAACCUACCCUCGAGUGGGGAAUAACUAGCCGAAAGGUUAGCUAAUACCGCGUACGCUCCUUGGACUUCGGUUCAGGGAGGAAAGCGAUACCGUGGGUAUCGCGCUCUUGGAUGGGCUCAUGUCCUAUCAGCUUGUUGGUGAGGUAACGGCUCACCAAGGCUUCGACGGGUAGCUGGUCUGAGAGGACGAUCAGCCACACUGGCACUGCGACACGGGCCAGACUCCUACGGGAGGCAGCAGUAAGGAAUAUUGCGCAAUGGGCGAAAGCCUGACGCAGCGACGCCGCGUGGGGGAUGAAGGUCUUCGGAUUGUAAACCCCUUUCGGGAGGGAAGAUGGAACGAGCAAUCGUUCGGACGGUACCUCCAGAAGCAGCCACGGCUAACUUCGUGCCAGCAGCCGCCGCCG